AAGAGGUGUGGCUGUGUCAGUUCACCUGUCCUAAUGGCUGCUUUACCUAUAAAUACACCCACUUGUGCAGCAGUCUUCCUUUUGACCUACAGGUAUGAGCACAUGGCUUGCUGUCGCCAUCUUGGUUUGCGGAAGAAAAAAAGCUCCAAGAUAUGUGGAAUCUCCUCAGUGGCCCUGCAGCUUCAGCAAAUGACCCAUAUUUUGUAGCUGGUGAGAUGACGUCAAGGCUGAAGUAUGGCAACACUGCUGUUUGAGAGUCAUCUGAAAGCUAAAGUACCAUAUCUUGGUAUAAGGAUAUCUUCAAGAACAUUCCUCAAGACAUUUAUUGGAAAUGCAAGAUUACUGAUAUACUGGGAAGAAAUUGAUAUGCUGGUGGCACAUGAGAGCAAUAGGUCUUGUACAACAAAGCUUUGAAAGGACUUUGAUGUGAAGCAAAUUAUAGUGUCUACAGCGAGCCUUUAGUAAACAUGGCUAUAACAAGAACAUAAGGUCAUUAUUUAACCAACCAAACUCCUGAGGAUGUUCAACUGUCCACUCACACCUGGUCAGCAUGGUACCCGAAGGCUGAUGAAUUGGAUGGACAUUCUGUGAUAUCUGCUCAAAGGAUCUGAAAGUUGAGCCUGGGAGAGGAACAAACUUUUUAUCACCUUGGGUUCAAUUGUCUUCAAUGGCUGUGACAACCCUCCCAGCUGGGGUAUGGGUCCCAAGUCUUAAUCUUGGGUCAGGGUCCUUUUUAUCCAGAGAAUGUGUUAGACCUGUAAGAUCCCUUUCUUUCCCUGUUAUCCCAUCUUCCCUCUCCUUUAUAACUGUAAUGUAUUUAUAGCCCUAUUGUAAGCAAGUCCAACCCUUUUUUUUAAGAAUUGGUCAUCCUUUUAUUGGAAGCCAGAGACCCCAUACAAAGCACAUUUUACAAUAAUAGUUUACAAAUGGUCCCGUGUACAUUUUCAGUCUGUACUUGAUUACUGGAAACCUAGUUUCUGCUAAGAAUUUGGUACUAAUUGAAGCAGUUCCUCAAACUCUGUGGCCUGGGUAGGAAAGGUUGCUGCAAGUUUACUUCCCAAUUGCUUGUCUUGCACCUUGCCAUACGAUACAUGCCUGCAAUAUCCAGGUACAAAUAGUCUUGCUAAAACUAGUUAUGGGUAAGUUGCGCUAUUAAACACACACAAAAUGUACAGUAUAUAUUGCAGCAUACCAAUUCUUAAAUGUGAAUGGCUAUAUCAGUUUUCUUCUUUAAGCCUUUUCUUUAUCGUACAUCAUGGGACACAGAGCCUUAAGUAUUUCCUUAAUGGGUAAUGGGCCACCUUCAGAUGUUGACACGGGUAAAUCCUAACUAAAGAAGUUUACUCCCUAUAUAAUCCCUCCUCCCAGGAGCACAUCCGUUGUUCGCCAGUGUCUAAAGGUGUUGGUCACGAGUGAAGUGCACUGAAGAGCUCUAGGAGGGAUCCAUGCUGGAUUUAAAUUCCUCCAAAAAGAAGCCAGAUUCAACCACAUUGCCACUGGGGCCUAAAUGGUUGUACCUGCACUUACCAUACUCUGUCAUCUUCACUAGAGCUCAGUCCGUGCAUGGCUUGUGCAGCAGGUGGAGAGGAGAUUCUUACAAGGUAAAAAUAUCCUUUAAAGUCUUUUUUUUUUUUCUCUCCCUCUGGUGGGACCAGGGGGACAGCAGAGGCCCCCCCACCGUGGGGGACACAGAGGUCCCGCUAUGUACUGCUCACUGCAGUCUGUUCCCCUCGUGUUCUGGUCCGGAAAACUUGAAGAAAAAAAUGUGUGGAGUUUUCCAGAGGGGGUGGGGCCUAAACGCAGUGCCACAAACGCCCACAAGACACACGCAGGCUGGAAACAAAAUGAAAGCUGUGUCAGUCUCUCCGCUGCUGAGGAAAUGGCUGCCUGCACACAGGGACACACAAGCUGUGUUUUUGUACUUACAACUAUGCCUGCCAAAAAAGACACCUCAAAAAACAAAGCUAAAAUUUCACCCCCAGGCAUUGGGAUCUCAAGCUAUAUUAUCAUGCUGUCAUCAUCGCCUGAAUCGCCAAGUAUGGCAACUCAGGGUAAGCUAUUGGAACAAAUUGAUGGUGCAGCUGCACCUUGCAUCUUAGCACCUGUAUACGUGACUGAUACCCUUUCCUCCUCCCUCUAGGGUUUAGAAGAAAGAUUAGCGGCUUUAAUCGCUUCCUCCAUUCAGAUGGAUAAGAAAAGUACUAGGUCCCCUUCCCCCACUCCAGCUUUGCUAGGGGAACAGUGGACUCACGAUGAGGUGUUGCCCUCAAUCGAUCAGGAAGAAAAACAGAUGAUUCCUCAAUAGAGAACGGUAGAUGAACCUUUUUCAGCUUCCCAAACAGAGAAAUUGCUGAUACAAUCUCUUACAGAAAUGGUUCGUUCCACCUUCAUGCUGCCUUUAACAGACUCAUGAAAGCCCAGCCUCUUCCUUAGGUUCUUUAAAACCUUCCCAUGCUUUGCAUGCGUUUCCAUCGCAUCCAUUGCUAGAACAGCUUAUAUUUCUGGAAUGGGAUCAUCUGGAUAACCACUUUCUCCCUCCUAAGUUUUUGCAACUUGCUAUCAUCUGGAGGAAAAAUUCUCCAAAAGAUGGAAAGUACCAGCAAUUUACGCUGCGAUUUCCAAUGUGAAUAAUAACUUAACUUGUCCUGUAGACAAUGCACAGAUGCUUAAGGAUCCAACAGAUAAGAAGUUGGAAUCCCUGCUAAAAUCUGCAUUUUCCAUAGCAGGUGCCGUCACUCAGCCUGCAGUUGCUGCGAUAGGCGUCUGCCAAUCCCUAAAGGACCAAUUUAAAUUGGCCCUUUAGAGAACUCCCUACACAACAAGCUUGGGAUUUGGCUGAACUACCAAAGACAUUGUUUUUCCAUAGAUGCCUUUAGAGAUUCUAUUCACCAGGCAUCCCGCCUUACACUUGUACAAAUGUGCAGGAUCCUGUGACUAAAAAAUUGGUCAGCUGAAACACCAUGUAAGAACCUCCUAACUGGGUUCCCCUUUCAUGGUGAGCGACUUUUCCAAGAAGACUUGGAUAAAUAUAUCAAGACAAUUUCUAGUGGCAAAAGCACUUUUACCCAUCAAAAGAAAAUGCGAACACCCUGCAUUUAAACAGGCUUUCCUCAGCGCCAAGGCUUUCGCCUCUAAGCAGUGGCCACGGUCUCCGUCAUUCAGACUCUAGAGGAAGACCUCAGAGUCAGACCCAGGCUCAAAAGCCCUGGAGUAGGAAAUCUGCAAAACAGAAUCCUAAAGCCUCGUCAUGAAGAAGCAACCCCCCCUCACCAAGGUGGGGGGAAGACUUCUGCACUUUUCAGAAGUCUGGAAAAAAUAAAUUCAGGACACAUGGGUCAUCUCCACUGGAACAAUGGGAUACAAGCUGGAAUUUGGAACUUUCCACUGUCUCGUUUCCUAAGAUCAAGAGUGCCCAAAGAUCCAGAGAAAAGACAAUCUGUUUCAGGCACUAAACCGAUAAAUAUCUCAAGGGGUGAUCAUACAGAUCACCACAAAGGAGCAAGGUCUGGGGUUUUAUUCAAAUCUUUUCAUGGUACCAAAA